rnacentral:rRNA from 1 species
GGACCGGCGGACGGGUGCGUAACGCGUAUGCAACCUGCCUGACACAGGGGGAUAAUCCGAAGAAAUUUGGUCUAAUACCCCAUAAUACCGAUAUAGGCAUCUAUGUUGGUUGAAAGCUUUGGUGGUGUCAGAUGGGCAUGCGUUGUAUUAGCUAGUUGGUGAGGUAACGGCUCACCAAGGCGACGAUACAUAGGGGGACUGAGAGGUUAACCCCCCACACUGGUACUGAGACACGGACCAGACUCCUACGGGAGGCAGCAUG